AUACCUUUCUCGGCCUUUUGGCUAAGAUCAAGUGUAGUAUCUGUUCUUAUCAGUUUAAUAUCUGAUAUGUGGGCCAUGUGCCUAUAGUGAUAUUAAAUUUAUUUUUUAUGGGGGAGGGACCACCAAAAUGGCUUGCCAUUGGGUCCCUCGGGUGUCGCCCAGUGCGUUGCACUACUGCCUGGGCAGGCGCACCCCAA
rfam:Triticum aestivum genome assembly, contig: Triticum_aestivum_CS42_TGACv1_scaffold_556990_7AL